GAGGAUUUAGCUCAGUGGUAGAGCGCUUGCCUAGCAAGUGCAAGUACCUGGGUUCAGUCCUCA
rnacentral:tRNA from 1 species